rnacentral:lncRNA from 1 species
UCAAGUACCAGCUCUGCCCCAGUGAGCUGUGCAAGUUUGUUGCAAUUGUGAGGGAAAGCAAAUGGCAGAGAUGCUGAUCCAGGACCCUGCAAACCUGAGUUGCUCAAUUAACCCACCUGGAAAGGAAAACCUCUGAAUUUCUUACAAAUCCUAGCAUACCUACUAUCUGAAUUUGUCAUCAUCGCACAAGGAAGGGUAAGGUACAUGCAAAGGAUUACGCCAGAAACACAGAGAUGACCCUGGAAGAUCUUCACAGUAUUCCUAAGAAACUUCAUGAAAAGCCCUACAGUUGAUGGCUGCAGAGGAGAGUGUGUCUCUCUUUAAACAAUUGCAAUUCAAUACUGGGAGGACUUCCAGAAGGAUUUCAUCAAAUAACAAGCAUGUUAUUCAGAGAUCCAUAAUGAUAUGUUCAGACCCAAGUACAGACACUUCUUU